AUUGAACGCUGGCGGCAGGCCUAACACAUGCAAGUCGAGCGGGGUUUUCGGACCUAGCGGCGGACGGGUGAGUAAUGCGUAGGAAGCUACCCGAUAGAGGGGGAUACCAGUUGGAAACGACUGUUAAUACCGCAUAAUGUCUACGGACCAAAGUGUGGGACCUUCGGGCCACAUGCUAUCGGAUGCGCCUACGUGGGAUUAGCUAGUUGGUGGGGUAAUGGCUCACCAAGGCGACGAUCCCUAGCUGGUUUGAGAGGAUGAUCAGCCACACUGGGACUGAGACACGGUCCAGACUCCUACGGGAGGCAGCAGUGGGGAAUAUUGGACAAUGGGCGCAAGCCUGAUCCAGCCAUGCCGCGUGUGUGAAGAAGGCCUUCGGGUUGUAAAGCACUUUCAGUAGGGAGGAAGCGUUGUGUGUUAAUAGUACACAGCGUUGACGUUACCUACAGGAGAAGCACCGGCUAACUCUGUGCCAGCCGCCGCGGUAAAAC
rnacentral:rRNA from 1 species